CACGUAGGGCGCAAGCGUUGUCCGGAUUUAUUGGGCGUAAAGAGCUCGUAGGCGGUUUGUCGCGUCGGCCGUGAAAACUUGGGGCUUAACUCCAAGCUUGCGGUCGAUACGGGCAGACUUGAGUUCGGCAGGGGAGACUGGAAUUCCUGGUGUAGCGGUGAAAUGCGCAGAUAUCAGGAGGAACACCGGUGGCGAAGGCGGGUCUCUGGGCCGAUACUGACGCUGAGGAGCGAAAGCGUGGGGAGCGAACAGG
rnacentral:rRNA from 1 species